rnacentral:rRNA from 1 species
CCUACGGGUGGCAGCAGUGAGGAAUAUUGGUCAAUGGCCGUAAGGCUGAACCAGCCAAGUAGCGUGAGGGAAGACUGCCCUAUGGGUUGUAAACCUCUUUUAUGCGGGGAUAAAGGUGUCCACGUGUGGAUGUUUGUAGGUACCGCAUGAGUAAGGACCGGCUAAUUCCGUGCCAGCAGCCGCGGUAAUACGGACGGUCCGGGCGUUAUCCGGAUUUAGUGGGGUUAAGGGGAGCGUAUGCCGGUCUUUAAGCGUGCCGUGAAAUUUUGUGGCUCAACCAUGGGAGUGCGGGGCGAACUGGAGACCUGGAGUGCGCGGAAGGCAGGCGGAAUUCGUGGUGUAGCGGUGAAAUGCUUAGAUAUCACGAAGAACCCCGAUUGCGAAGGCAGCCUGCCGCAGCGUUACUGACGCUGAUGCUCGAAAGUGUGGGUAUCAAACAGGAUUAGAUACCCUGGUAGUC